rnacentral:rRNA from 1 species
CCUACGGGAGGCUGCAGUGGGGAAUAUUGCACAAUGGGGGAACCCCUGAUGCAGCAACGCCGCGUGAGUGAUGACUGCCUUCUGGUUUUAAAGCUCUUUCUUCCGGGACGAUACUGCCGGUACCUGUGGCCGGAGCCACAGCUAACGACGUGCCAGCAUCCGCUGUCAUACGUAGGUUGCGAGCGUUGUUCGGAUUUACUCGGCGUAAAGGGAGCGUAGGCGGGCUUUUAAGUGACAUGUGAAAUACUCGGGCUCAACGUGAGUGCUGCAGUUCAAACUGGAAGUCUAGAGUGCAGGAGAGGAGAAUGGAAUGCCUGGUGUAGCGGUGAAAUGCGUAGAGAUCAGGAAGAACACCAGUGGCGAAGGC